rnacentral:lncRNA from 1 species
CCAUUCCCCAAAAUACAAUCAUUUCUCAAAUUACACCGUUAUCACUUACUUUUAUAAUUGCGACUUAAUUAUAACAACGGAUUUACAUAUUCAGAAGAUAAUGGCAUAUUUUAUGUAAUUUAAUGAUAUGAUCAGAUGACUAUAACAUAUUUAAAACUAAUCAAUUCCACCCACGAACUACGGCCAAUUGAUUGCUUAUAAAAAGGAAGACUCGGGACAGAUAUCAGUAUAAACUUUUCAGCUAUAGUACAAUGCAGAUAUAUUUGUUUUCAAGUUUGUGUGUGGUUGUGUGUGUGAGUCUGUUGACCGUACAUGCAAUACCAAGUUUUGAGGAUUUUUUAUCCAACGAUCAACCAUGGUCGGCAAGUAUAUUUACUUAAGCAUUUUACAUAAAAAAAAAAAUUAAAUGUUUUAUAUAUAUAGUGAAUGAAAAUCGAAUCAGUAUUCGAUUAUUUCUUUCAAAUGAAUAUUUCA